rnacentral:pre_miRNA from 7 species
UGCUGCGGUCAACACUGGGUACUUGAGGAGAGGUUGUCUGUGAUGAGUUCGCUUUAUUAAUGACGAAUAUAACACAGAUGGCCUGUUUUCAAUACCACCUGCCACUCCGGUCACUC